rnacentral:rRNA from 1 species
AAUUGCGAUAAUUAAUGCGAAUUGCAGACUUUGUGAAUCAUCGAGUUCUUGAACGCACCUUGCACCUAGUGGUUUAUUCUACUAGGUACGGUUGUUUCAGUAUCACAAAACUC